rnacentral:rRNA from 1 species
UACGAAGGGGGCUAGCGUUGCUCGGAAUCACUGGGCGUAAAGCGCACGUAGGCGGCUUUUUAAGUCAGGGGUGAAAUCCUGGAGCUCAACUCCAGAACUGCCUUUGAUACUGGCGGUCUCGAGUCCGGGAGAGGUGAGUGGAACUGCGAGUGUAGAGGUGAAAUUCGUAGAUAUUCGCAAGAACACCAGUGGCGAAGGCGGCUCACUGGCCCGGUACUGACGCUGAGGCACGAAAGCGUGGGGAGCAAACAGGG